rnacentral:misc_RNA from 1 species
GAUGAAGAACGUAGCGAAAUGCGAUAAGUAGUGUGAAUUGCAGAAUUCAGUGAAUCAUCGAAUCUUUGAACGCACAUUGCGCCCUUUGGUAUUCCAAAGGGCAUGCCUGUUCGAGCGUCAUUUGUACCCUCAAGCUUUGCUUGGUGUUGGGCGUCUUGUCUCUAGCUUUGCUGGAGACUCGCCUUAAAGUAAUUGGCAGCCGGCCUACUGGUUUCGGAGCGCAGCACAAGUCGCACUCUCUAUUAGCAAAGGUCUAGCAUCCAUUAAGCCUUUUUUUCAACUUUUGACCUCGGAUCAGGUAGGGAUACCCGCUGAACUUAAGCAUAUCAAUAAGCGGAGGA